rnacentral:rRNA from 1 species
AUUGAACGCUGGCGGAAUGCUUUACACAUGCAAGUCGAACGGCAGCACGGGGGCAACCCUGGUGGCGAGUGGCGAACGGGUGAGUAAAGCAUCGGAACGUGCCCUGGAGUGGGGGAUAACGUAGCGAAAGUUACGCUAAUACCGCAUAUUCUGUGAGCAGGAAAGCAGGGGAUCGCAAGACCUUGCGCUCUGGGAGCGGCCGAUGUCGGAUUAGCUAGUUGGUGGGGUAAAGGCCUACCAAGGCGACGAUCCGUAGCGGGUCUGAGAGGAUGAUCCGCCACACUGGGACUGAGACACGGCCCAGACUCCUACGGGAGGCAGCAGUGGGGAAUUUUGGACAAUGGGCGAAAGCCUGAUCCAGCCAUGCCGCGUGAGUGAAGAAGGCCUGGGUU